CUGACGAAACCUGGAGUCUUCUUAUUCUUUCUGGGCUUUGGACCUGUCACUGUCAGAUCCAGCGGGCAGCCCAACUGGCCUCCUCCCCUUCAUAUAUACCUAUUGCCACUCCUCAAUUUUCGUUGUAAUAUUGCAACUACCACUACACUCUCCGUUGCCCUCUCUCUCUCUCUCUCUCUCUCAACAUGGGGGAAAGAGAAAAGGGACUUUCAAAGUUGAAAGAAAGGCACAAGUUUCUGCAAGGGAACCUGUUCAAGAGAAUGAACAAAGCUAGCACGUGCUACGCUACAAGCCAGGAAAAGAACUUCGCAGAUGGAUUCUUUGCUGGCUUUCAACUGGUAGCUGAAAAGAUGGGCUUUUCAUGUUAAUUGGGUGCUAUCCUACCUGAGCUUUUUCUUAGCUAUAUCUUCUUCAUUUAUUUUUUCUUUUUUCUUCUUGACCUUGUAAGACCUUUUCUUGACCUUGUAAGACCCUGUUUUUCGUUCUUCAUUUUUGUUUUUUUAAUUGUCAUUUACUCUAUAUCAAAACUUUAUGAUAUAGAUUUUUGACAAAAUCUUUUCCCAUUUUCAUCCAACUUAUCUUCUCUUUUCUUAUCUAUCCCUCCUGAGCUGUUUGAAUUAGACUACGUAACAUUUUCCUUCAAAAUCACCCAAUUAAAGACAAAUCAACAACCUCUGAAAGGUCAUGCAAGCGAUCGAUGGAGCCUUAUUUACCAUGCGAGGUUCACAUUUUCUUACAUGUAAACUCUUGGAGGAAGAAUCAUGUUUGAGCUAAGAGAUCUCUGAGGAGUUAAGUGCUGUCAAGAGUGAAGAGUACUUGAAUCGCAUGUAAAAAUGUCUUGUCUUUCUUUCUCGGUAAAAAUAAAAAUACCCUAUCUUUCUUA